CCCUCCGGGCUCGCUCUGGUUCGUGUGUUGUGUUCCGUUAACGGUCCCUGGUGGCUCUGCCUCAGCAUCUGUCACGCUGUGAUCUGCACUGGCCGUGGGCGACAUAGGAGGGACUCAGGGGGACCCGGGAGACCUAGAAAUGGUCUCAGUGGCCAUUGAGGAUGUGUCUGUGACCUUCACCCUGGAGGAGUGGGCUUUAUUGGAUCCUUCACAGAAGAAACUCUACAGAGAUGUGAUGUCGGAAACCUUCAGGAAUCUGGCCUCCAUUGGAAAGAAAUGGAAAGAUCAUGACAUUGAAGAUCAUUACAUAAACCAGGGGAGAAGACAAAGAAGUCAUAUGGUAGAGAGACUGUUUAAAAGUAAAGAAGGUAAUCAAUGUGGAGAAAACUUCAGCCGUAUUCCAAAUCUCAAUCUGAACAAGAAAACUCCUGGAGUGAAACCACGUGAAUGCAGUGCAUGUGGAAAAGUCUUCAUGCAUCAUUCAUCCCUUAAGAGGCACAUGAGAUGUCACGCUGAAAACAAACCAUCUGAAUAUCAAAAAUAUGGACAGAAGCCUUAUAAAUGUAAGGAAUGUGGGAAAGCCUUUGUUUAUUUCCAUGUUUUAGAAAAACAUGAAAGAAAUCACAAUGGAGAGAGAAACUAUAAGUGUAAGGAAUGUGGGAAAACGUUUAUGUGGCUCAAAACCCUACGAAGACACAUGAGAAUGCACACUGGAGAUGCUCCUUAUAAAUGCAAAGAAUGUGAGAAAGGCUUCAAUUGUUCUAGUUCACUUCAAGUACAUGAAAGAACUCACACUGGAGAGAAACCCUAUGAAUGUGCAAAAUGUACUAAAACAUUCACUUGUCCCAGUUCUCUUCAAAGACAUGAAAAAACUCAUACUGGAAAGAAACCCUAUGAAUGUAAGGAAUGUGGGAAAGCCUACAGAUAUUAUACUUCCUUACAAACACAUGAAAGGACUCACACAGGAGAGAAACCCUACAAAUGUAAGCAAUGUGGUAAAGCGUUCAUUUCUCAUCUAGGCUUCCAAAUACAUGAAAGAAAUCAUAAUGGAGAGAAACAGUAUGAAUGCAAAAAAUGCAGUAAAGCAUUCAGUUGUCCCAGUUCUCUUCAAAAACAUGAAAAAAAUCACACUGGAGAAAAACCCUAUGAAUGUAGAAAAUGCAGUAAGGCAUUCAGUUUUCCCAGUUCCCUUCAAGUACAUGAAAGAACUCAUACUGGAGAGAAACCUUACAAAUGUAAGGAAUGUGGGAAAGCCUUUACUGCUCUCUCAAGCCUUCGAGCACACAUGAUCUCUCACACUGGAGAUGGACCUUAUAAAUGUAAGGAAUGUGAGAAAGUGUUCAUUUCUCCCAGUGCAUUUCAAAUACACCAAAGGAUUCACACUGGAGAGAAACCCUAUGAGUGUAAACAGUGUGGUAAAGCCUUUAGUUAUGUCACUUCCUUUCAAAUACACAAAAGAACUCACACAGGAGAGAAACCCUAUGAAUGUAAAGAAUGUGGGAAAGCCUUUAGUGUUGCAACUUCACUUAGAAUACAUGAAAAAACUCACAGUAUAGAGAAACCUUAUCACUGUAAACAAUGUGGAAAAGCCUUUAGAUAUCAUCACAAUUUUCAAAGACAUGAAAGGAGUCACAUAGGAGAGAAACUCUAUGAAUGUAAGCAGUGUAGUAAAACUUUCAGUUAUUACAAUUCCUUCCAAAUACGUAAAGGAAGUCACACCGGAAAGGAACCAUGUGAAUGUAAAACAUGUACUACAGCAUUCACGUGUCCCGGUUCUCUUCAAAAACAUGAAAGAAGUCAUACUGGAGAGAAAACUCAUGAAUGUAAGGAAUGUGGGAAAACCUUCAUUUGUCACACAAACUUUCAAAGACACGUGAGAGUGCACACUGGAGAGAAACCAUAUAAAUGUGUGGAAUGUGGGAAAGCUUUCUGUGAUUCCAGUUCUUUCCGAAGGCAUGAAAGGACUCACUGGAUAAAACCUCUUGAAGGUAAACAGUGUGGGAAGGGCUUCAAUUGGCCCACUUCCUAGAAUGUGAAAACUCCCACCAAAAAGAAAUAUAAAUAACAUGAGAAAGCUUGAUAGGAAUUAAUACAUCUGUAAUGUUCCAGAAAACUUUUCAAUAUGAAAGAGUUGUUAUCAAAAUUGUAAAUAUAUUGUGUUUACUAAGCCGCUUUCCUAAGGUACAUUAUUGGACUGUGGAUUUCUACUAAUUACUUUUAGAAGUGAAUAUGAGGGUAAGACUUGGCCUUGCGGUGAAUACACGCCAGCUCCCAGUCCUCUGUAAUGGAUUUUGCCUUUCCUACUUAUUAUCAAAUCACUGAUAUAUUUCCUAAGGUGUGUUAGACACUGUUUACCAUAAAGUACCUUAGUUAAGUUAUAUAAAUUUACUUCUUAGUAUACUCUGUAAUAUUUUUCGUAUCUCCUUUAUGAUUCACCUGAGGCCUUUGAGUUUAGGUAAAUUGUGAGAUAAUACAAACCUAGCAAGGGAGAGAGACAGAACCACUAUGUCAAUCAAGAUUUUCUCGGAGACUAGGCUCUUGGUGCUAGUGUUUCAGCAUCUCUCACAUACCAUGCACUAUAGAGGCAACAUACCCAAUUUUACACAAAUAAGGCAUAAUGAGAUUUGAAUAUAGUGACAUGAAACAAACCAGUUCUUACAAUCAUGGUGCUUAUAUGUUCGUGGGAAAAAAGAUGGUUAGCAAAUGGUAAAGCUUUGGUUUGUAAGCUGGAAAUAGGGCUUUGAAGAAAGGUGAAAAAACAAUAUGAGCUAAUAGGAAUGCUGAGGUGUGUGUAUAUCUUUUCUUUGAGGGUAGGAGUGAGUGAGGAUGUCAUUAUUAUCAUUAUCUGGACUUGAGACUUCCUAUUGAUUUAGGCCACAGAUAAUUAUGAUGUCUUUUUGUGUUUAAUAUUAUAGGAGAGAAUUUUCAUUUACCUUUAAAUGUUUAAAAUGUUUGGUUUUUUCAUUUUGCUGCUUUACAGACUGAGUGUGCAACAUAUACCACUAAACCAUGGAGUUCCUCCCGUUUAGAGAAACAGUUACCUUCAUCUGUACUGUUCUAGCUCAUCUUGAGUGUGUUCCAUGAAUAGAGUGAUAUCUAUGCAAGUUUACUGUAAUCUCCCAGUGGAAACCCCAGAAAGAGCUAUGAAUGUUUAGAGGCAGUCAUCCCAGGAAUAAUUGAAGUGAGCUGCAGAGGACAGGGUAUCAUUUUGAGUAAUAUCCUAAUUGAGUAUAAAAAGCAAAAUGGCAAGUUUUCAACAUCUUUUCUUGUAAGAAAAGAUGAGUGGCAAGAGUGGCUGGAAGACUUUUGUUUCCGUGAUUCACAAAGCCCCAUCGUCCAUAUUGCUGUUCACACGUCUCUCUUCCAUAUGCUUAGAUUUCCAGCACAUGUUCUGGAAAAGUGGGAAACAAUAUUAACAACUUGGAGGUUUAAAAGAGCAAAGGAAGUUCAAUCUUUUCCAUUUUUUUAGUGUUAACUUAUGUAUUGGAGGUUUUGUUCACAUGGGCACCACAAGAGUGUUCUUUUGAUAUGAUGAUAUAGUUUCCAUCUCUUCAUGGCGGUAAUUCUAUACUUUUGUGAAAACUCAUGAGUACAGUAAAAAUAUUUUAUAUAUAUUUAUAUAUGUUAUAUAUGUGCCUGUGAGUAAUAAUUAGAAAACACAUAACACAAUUGUUUUCAUACGCUAGGAGAAUGUUAAGCUCUCCUGAACCUUGAUUUUUAUGUGUUCAACUCUUCUUUCCACCAGUGAGGGAUCCUUCUUAGGAAGAAUUGGAGGACUGAGGAAGAAGGACUCAGUCCUCCACAGUCCUUUAUUGCAACCCUGUCUUAGUUAAAAAAGUCAUGCUCUAGAGUUGAACCUGCCAUCAUCUCAUACACAUACUAUGAGCUUGGUGAGAAGCUCCCCAAAUCUGUCUAUGAGUUUAAGUCAGGUUCCUUGGAUAUACUGUGGUUUUAAAACAUAAAAGUGUAUCCCAAGCGGGAUCUGCCUGGGGACAUCCUCAUUCAUGUGCAUCAGCAUCAUUUCUUCUCAUUGCCAUCCAUAGACCAUUUCCAGCUGUUCAUUUCCCACCUCAAGCCUACUCUGUGCUUGCUUACUUGGAAACAUCUUUAGAAAUCCAUGCAUGUCCCACUCUGCAAAAUUUCCCUGAGGCAGCAGGAGGGGGCUGUGAGCUGAGAGGGAGACAGAAGUGGUAGAAACCAUGUUACGGGCAUGUUCUGUCAGCCACAGCAACCACAAACAUCCCAUAUUUAUCAUAUCUGCUUGCUUAUUCACACAACACUCAAAAUUGACUUACAUUGAAUUGGGGAACAAAAGGAUCUAGAAUUUUUUGAAAUAGCACUCCAUUAAUGUCCCCCUCCCCACACUCCUUUAUCACAGAGGCUGUAGAAGCCUCCUGUUAUUCAUCCAGGAGUCUCUAAACCUCCCAUGGUGGACAUAAAUUACCCAAGACAUUCUUGUACCAGAAACUUUUCUUCAGCAGAUACUGGCACAAUUAGAGAAGCCACUGCUGGUAACUGACAGAGUGUUUAUGUAAAUGGAGGCCUUCCCAGGGGCUGAAUUGAUCCUCCACAGCCAGCUUCCCAUUUUGCCUUGGGUUAUGAAUGCAGGACCCCCCAGGCUUUCUAACCAGAGGCCUCCUCAUUGAAGAGAUAUGGGUAUUUACAGCAUAGAGCCAGCCAAAAAUGGUGUUUCUGGAAUAUCCCAUGGAUACUAGGUAGUGUAUUUCCCUCUUCUCUGAUGUAAUCCAUUGUGGAAGAGGCCAUUUCCUUUUUAGACACAUUGGCCACUUGGAGAGUCACCUAGGAGCACAUGGGUGAACAUGUUCAUAUACUUUAUUGAUAGCGUGCACCACCACAUCUGAUGGAGUCCACUGCAGAGAUGCUGCCUUCUGUCCCUAGAUCCAACAGGCCAUCACUGGUCAAAGAAUGGACCCAAGCUCAGAUCGAUUAGUCAAACUGGUCAUGCUAGCCAUAGAAAAUUUCUUGGCCAAGAAUCAAUCACAUCUGCACAUUUUUACAGAUCCUUUGGCCAUUGACAAUGAUCUAGCUGUGUGGUCCUACAAAUAGUAACAACUCCUUAUCCAAAGUUGCCCACUAUGGCAUAAAGAACUCUGGAAAUAUCUUGCCUCAGAAUUACCCAACUACAAAUCUAGUCACUCCUUACUCUGCACUUAUUAAUUUCAAUCUGCAGAGGCUGAUUUCAUUGCUCAGGGUGAUAAACUGACGCAAGUUUCUGAGACAUAUAUGGACACCUCAAACCUGAUGGUAUUGACCUUGUUCCAAUGGUCUCACUUAAUAUGAAACUGCUUAUAGGCCUCUACCCUAAGAGGCUAGGCAAAAUUCAAGUGAUUUCCCUCCUUGGCCGUGGUUAACUUAUUGACUGACCAAUGAACCUGAUGUGAAAAAACAAGUCACUAGUAAUAUAAUUAAUGGACAUACUGUCUUGACAUGAGUACAGCCAUGUUUGGCCGCUCCAUUGACCUACAGCCACCAGCACACAAAGAAAUAUAAAAGCUGCUUUCUGCGUGGUGGGAACUGGCCCUUCUCCCACGGAGAUAGUUGCAAUGUGUAAAAAUUUCAAGGCCCUUUGGGCGCCGCAGCCUGGGACAGACUGGCCAUUUGUGCCAGGCUGGGAUGAUAACCAGGGAAAACAGUGCAUGUACACAACUGCUGGGCUGGAAUGAUAGCCAGGAGGCUCAGUGCACGUAUGCCACUGAUAACCAUUUGUGCAUGGGAACACUGGAUGCUUGCUCUGAAAAAAACUGUGACUGUUUACUCUGAAAAUUAUUGAUGCUAUAAAAAACUGCUGAAGACUGAGGCCUGGUGAGAGUUCCACCUGUGGAAGGGAUGCCUUGCCCAGGAUGUGUGAUUCCCGCCCAGCCAUGUCGAUUGAAAGGACUCUCCCGGCAGUGGGGCGUGGAUGUUGUGAGUCAUUGAUUUCUUGUGAAGUAAUUGAUUUGUUGUGAAUAAUUGAUUUGAUGUGUUCUCUUUUCAGUCAACCUGGUGUUUCUCUUUCUGGUUGAUUUGUGUCAUUUCCCUUCAGUCAAUGUGGAUGUUUUCCCUUUCCACUUGAUCUGAUGUUUUUCCUUCUUGAUAUUUGACCUAUUCAGAUCUGUUUGUGGACUAUCAUCUUUACUAUCCUCUAUAUAAUAAAAUAUACCUUCAGUCCA